CCUACGGGUGGCAGCAGUGGGGAAUAUUGCACAAUGGGGGAAACCCUGAUGCAGCGACGCCGCGUGAGUGAAGAAGUAAUUCGUUAUGUAAAGCUCUAUCAGCAGGGAAGAAAAUUACGGUACCUGAGUAAGAAGGCCCGGCUCACUCCGUUCCAGCAGCCGCGGUACUACGUAGGGGGCAAGCGUUAUCCGGAUUUACUGGGUGUAAAGUGGGCUUAGACGGCAGUGCAGGUCUGCAGUGAAAGGCGGGCGCUCAUCCCCCGGACUGCUCUGGAAACUGGACGGCUGUACUGCGGGAGCGGUAAGUGGAAUUCCUGGUGUAGCGGUGAAAUGCGUAGAUAUUAGGAGGAAC
rnacentral:rRNA from 1 species